CGUAUGCAGUGCCUUGGUUAAGGGAACCCAUCAGAGCCGUAGCGAAAGGGAGUUUUCAUAGGGCAAUUGUCAUUGCUUAUGGACCCGAACUUGGGUGAUCUAUCCAUGACCAAGAUGAAGCUUGGGUGAAACUAAGUGGAUGUCCAAACCGACUGAUAUUGAAGAAUCGGUGGAUUAGCCUUGUAAGAAGGUCAUUGUUUUUUGG
rnacentral:ncRNA from 1 species